GUAGGUGGCAAGCGUUGUCCGGAAUUAUUGGGCGUAAAGCGCGCGCAGGCGGUUCUUUAAGUCUGAUGUGAAAGCCCACGGGCUCAACCGUGGAGGGUCAUUGGAAACUGGAGAACUUGAGUACAGAAGAGGAAAGCGGAAUUCCACGUGUAGCGGUGAAAUGCGUAGAGAUGUGGAGGAACACCAGUGGCGAAGGCGGCUUUCUGGUCUGUAACUGACGCUGAGGCGCGAAAGCGUGGGGAGCAAACAGGAUUAGAUACCCUGGUAGUCCACGCCGUAAACGAUGAGUGCUAAGUGUUAGGGGGUUUCCGCCCCUUAGUGCUGCAACUAACGCAUUAAGCACUCCGCCUGGGGAGUACGGCCGCAAAGGCUG
rnacentral:rRNA from 1 species